AUGGUUUUUGAUGAGAUCAACGAUCCACCGAUGCUGGAAGCGCUGGCUUGCCGUGAGGCCCUAGCCCUAGCUCAGGAUCUAAACCUAGAUCAGAUUGUUGUUGCUUGUGAUUGCAAAACUGUUGUGAAGGAAAUUAAGAAUGGGACGGAAGGGAGAUAUACCAUGGUUAUCAAGGAGAUCCAAGGCCAGUCAAGACAAUUCACACGCUGCGACUUCAUCUUUGAAGGACGGCAAGGGAAUGUUGAUGCUCAUAAUCUAGUUAAAAUUUGUACGUCUCUAGUUCAAGGGCGCCAUAUGUGGCUGGGAGUACCCCAUGAUCCCUUUGUUAUUCCUGUAAACCGAUACACUAAUUAA
rnacentral:rRNA from 1 species